rnacentral:rRNA from 1 species
CCUACGGGAGGCAGCAGUGGGGAAUAUUGCGCAAUGGGGGAAACCCUGACGCAGCAACGCCGCGUGAGUGAGGAAGUAUCUCGGUAUGUAAAGCUCUAUCAGCGGGGAAGAAGGAAGACGGUACCCGACUAAGAAGCCCCGGCUAACUACGUGCCAGGAGCCGCGGUAAUACGUAGGGGGCGAGCGUUAUCCGGAUUUACUGGGUGUAAAGGGAGCGUAGACGGCGUCGCAAGUCUGAAGUGAAAGCCCGUGGCUUAACCGCGGAACCGCUUUGGAAACUGUGAGGCUGGAGUGCUGGAGAGGUAGGCGGAAUGCCUGGUGUAGCGGUGAAAUGCGUAGAUAUCAGAAAGAACACCGGUGGCGAAGGCAGCUUACUGAACAAUGACUGACGUUGAGGCUCGAAAGCGUGGGGAGCGAACAGGAUUAGAUACCCGAGUAGUC